CGAAUGUAUUGCGGUCAUGUGAUGUGAUGUGUGAUUUGUGCUUGUGGUGUGCGAAGUGCAGUGUGACAUGUGAUGUGAGGAACAAGCUAGCUCAAGGAAGCCUGAGUUUAUAGACCUCUAAAGCUAGCUGAGAUGUCAUGUCAAGUCAUAAAGAAUGAAAUUCCCAAACCAAUGACCAACAGACACACUAUUCCAUUUAUAUAAGGUCUCCGGCUGUCUUUCAUGGUACAACAUGCAUGACUGUACAACAUGCUAGCAGACAGCAGUCCCAAAGCAGGAUGCGUAUGCAUGCAUGUUGAGGAGCAUGACACUAUCUACUUCCCCCCUCCUGUUCAUAAGAGUGUUGCAAAGCCAGGAAGAAAAAAUCCUGUUUCGAGGCAAAAUAGAGCUACCUGUUUAUGUAUAUAUACUGCUUCUUUUAUCAUCAUGUGUGCAGUUGAAAUAAUUAUGGUUUUGUUGUAAUAAUACUAUAGACAGAUUUUCAUUCCUUCUCCUAACCUCUGAAUAGAUAAAGUAGCUUCCUUAAUAAUUAUUAUUAUUGUGACUGUAUGCAUCAAUAUAACUUAUUUCAGUGUGUGAUAAUAAUUUA